CCUACGGGAGGCAGCAGUGAGGAAUAUUGGUCAAUGGGCGCGAGCCUGAACCAGCCAAGUAGCGUGAAGGAUGACUGCCCUACGAGUUGUAAACUUCUUUUAUAAAGGAGUAAAGUGAGGCACGUUUGCCUUUUUGUAUGUACUUUAUGAUUAAAGCUCGGCUCACUCCGUGCCAGCUGCCGCGGUAAUACGGAGGAUCCGAGCGUUAUCCGGAUUUAUUGGGUUUAACGGGAGCGUAGAUGGGUUGUUAAGUCAGUUGUGAAAGUUUUCGGCUCAACCGUAAAAUUGCAAUUGAUACUGGCAGUCUUGAGUACAGUUGAGGUAGGUGGAAUUCGUGGUGUAGCGGUGAAAUGCGUAGAUAUCACGAAGAAUUCCGAUUGCGAAGGCAGCUUACUAAACUGUCACUGACACUGAUGCUCGAAAGUGUGGGGAUCAAACAGGAUUAGAUACCCGAGUAGUC
rnacentral:rRNA from 1 species